GUAAUAUUAGCGAAUUUCGGUUUUAGUCCCUGUAAAAAAAAGAUUUAGAUUUUUACAGGGACUAAAACCGGAAUUCGCUAAUAUUACUGG
rnacentral:pre_miRNA from 2 species